rnacentral:rRNA from 1 species
GUGCGCUCGCGUGCGCCGUGCGGGCUAACGAACCUCGGCGCGGAAUGCGCCAAGGAAAACCAAAACGGAGCGCUCGCCCUCGCCCGUGCCCCGUUCGCGGUGCGCGCGGGAGGGGAAGGUGCGCCUCUUGAAUGUCAAAACGACUCUCGGCAACGGAUAUCUCGGCUCUCGCAUCGAUGAAGAACGUAGCGAAAUGCGAUACUUGGUGUGAAUUGCAGAAUCCCGUGAACCAUCGAGUCUUUGAACGCAAGUUGCGCCCGAAGCCUUCGGGCCGAGGGCACGCCUGCCUGGGCGUCACGCAUCGCGUCGCCCCCCCCAACCCGUCUCCCCAGRAGCGGGCGUGGCGGGGCGGACAUUGGCCUCCCGUGUGCCUCGGCGCGCGGUUGGCCCAAAAGCGAUCCCCCGGCGACGCACGUCGCGACCAGUGGUGGUUGAAUCAUCAACUCGCGUGCUGUCAGUCGUGCUCCACGGCGUCGUCGGUCGGGCAUCAAUAUCGACCCUAGCUGCGCGAAGCGCUUCCGACCGCGACCCCAGGUCAGGCGGGAUUACCCG